UACAGAGGUGGCAAGCGUUGUUCGGAAUUACUGGGCGUAAAGGGCGCGUAGGCGGCCAUGCGUGUCUUCCGUGAAAUCCCUCGGCUUAACUGAGGACGUGCGGAAGAAACUGCAAGGCUUGAGUCCGGGAGAGGGGGGUGGAAUUCCCAGUGUAGCGGUGAAAUGCGUAGAUAUUGGGAGGAACACCGGUGGCGAAGGCGGCCCCCUGGACCGGUACUGACGCUGAGGCGCGAAAGCGUGGGUAGCAAACGGG
rnacentral:rRNA from 1 species